rnacentral:rRNA from 1 species
UCCGAAUGGGGCAACCCACCUGACAGUUCAUUAUAAUUAGCUUCGGCUAUUUAUAGUGUUCUGAGACAGGUAUUUAUAGACUGAAUACAUAGGUUUAUAAAAGCAAACCCGGGGAACUGAAACAUCUAAGUACCCGGAGGAAAGGACAUCAAUUGAUACUCCCCUAGUAGCGGCGAGCGAACGGGGACCAGCCGAGCCAUGAGUGUGGAUAGAAUGUGUUGGAAAGCACAACCAUAGUGGGUGACAGUCCCGUAUAUGAAGCAUGAUUGGACGUAUUAAGUAGGGCGGAACACGUGAAAUUCUGUCUGAAGAUCGGAGGACCACCUUCGAAGGCUAAGU